AUACGGAGGGUGCAAGCGUUGUUCGGAAUCACUGGGCGUAAAGGGCGCGCAGGCGGUCUGGUAAGUCAGAUGUGAAAGCCCACGGCUCAACCGUGGAAGUGCAUUUGAAACUGUCAGACUUGAGUACUAGAGGGGAAAGUGGAAUUCCCGGUGUAGAGGUGAAAUUCGUAGAUAUCGGGAGGAAUACCGGUGGCGAAGGCGACUUUCUGGCUAGAUACUGACGCUGAGGCGCGAAAGCGUGGGGAGCAAACAGGAUUAGAAACCCCAGUAGUCC
rnacentral:rRNA from 1 species